rnacentral:rRNA from 1 species
AAGUCCCGUAACGAGCGCAACCCCCGUCUUUAGUUGCUACCAUUUAGUUGAGCACUCUAAAGAGACUGCCGGUGAUAAGCCGCGAGGAAGGUGGGGAUGACGUCAAGUCCUCAUGGCCCUUACGGGCUGGGCUACACACGUGCUACAAUGGCGGUGACAAUGGGAUGCUAAGGGGCGACCCCUCGCAAAUCUCAAAAAGCCGUCUCAGUUCGGAUUGGGCUCUGCAACUCGAGCCCAUGAAGUUGGAAUCGCUAGUAAUCGUGGACCAGCAUGCCACGGUGAAUACGUUCCCGGGCCUUGUACACACCGCCCGU